CCUCACCAGACACCUGCCCUGGGAGGCUGGGGUGUCCCGUAUGCCACCGCACAGGAGAGAGAGAAGUGUGCGCGGUGACAGCCUGCUGGGGUCCCCGGGGUGAUCCGAGCAAAGCCGCGUCCUGCCAACAGUGCUGUGCAGUGUCAGGAAGGCAGACCACUGGCGGGUGGACGUGCGAUUGAAAGCUUUUUAUUUUGCCAAGUAAACAACUCUUUAUAAUCACCAUCAUUUCACCACAGGAAGGACUAUGUGAGGCCAGAGGAGUGGGAAAGGUGCCAUCACAGAAUAAAAGGAAGUCCUUUCAAUUGAAUAAAUAUAGCUUUAUGAAAAACCACGCGGGCCUGUUUUCCGCAUUUCCCCGCAGGUCAGGGCGCCCGUCGACACAGACCGCACCACCGAUGAGGACCCGAGAGCAGUCUUACCGUUGCAAACUUUCAGAGGCAGGAGGCCUGCGACCGUGGACCAAGAGCCCCACUCUGGCAAGGGGGCAGCAGGUGCCCAGCGUGAGUGACUGUGUCAGGGAGGCAGCUGGAGGCCCAGGGUCAGCUCUGCAGACUCCAGUCCCAGGCCCAUGUCGCUCCCCACCCGCCCCGGGCGGGCUUAGCCGUGGAACGAAGAUGCUCGGUUUUCUUCCUCCCUUCCCCUCACACACUCCUUCUCGGCCCCCUGAGAGCCCAGACCUUCGCUCCUGUGAUCUGGGGCUCCCAGCCUCCCGGAACCUUUGCACGGGGGCAGCCACGGCCUCCUGGACGAACAGUGCUUGGAGUCUUCUGUGAAGAAUUUCUUUGAGCUCCUUCUCCUGUUUAUCUCCUCCUGAUUAAAAGGCCAUAAAGAACUGAUUUGCCAAAGACUUCAUAACCAGGCGCAGGGGACAAUGUGCAAUCUGAUGACAGGUCCAGACCCAUCUUUCAUGGGAGCACUGGGCCCAGGGCCGCAUGAGUGACAGUGUGGAAACGGGCGAGCCCUGCUAGCCCUGGAGCUGGCCGGGAGGAAUGCGACUGCAGCGGGAGGCGGGGUUGGCCUCUCCGGGGCCUGGCCGAGUGCCUGCUCAGCUAACGCACCGAUGGACGAUCCCUGGAGUAGUCAGGAUGUUGGUGGCAAAUAACAGAGGCCCAGUUCAUCUGGCUCAGACUAAAGUGGGAAUACAUUGGCUUAUGAAACUAAAGAGAGGCUCAUCUCAGCUUCAAGUCAAUGACAUCCAGGUGCCUGAUGUCGUCACUGGGAACCUACCUCUCCCCGUGAAUGGCUUCCCCCAGUGACGUCGUUCUCAGGAAGGCUCGCUCUGUGUGGCUGCAAGAGGCCGACCAGCAGCCCCAGGCCAUCAGCCUCCAGAUGAGCAGCUCCAGCCGUAGGGAAAGCUUCCCCUCCCUACCUUGGCUCCAUAAGAAGUUGGCCUGGCUUGGGCUGGGCACCCAUCCCUGCUGUAUUAACACUUACCAGUUACAGACACCAUGUUUGGUUCUGAGGACGGGAACAUGAGUAAGACAUGCCACCUUCUCUCGAGGAGCUCCCAACCUCACAGGAAAGACUUCACGGUUAACAGACAUUGUGAGUAACCAGGUCCAGUGCUGUCCCUCGUGAGAGGUCAGGGGACUAGUUGAGGGGCAAAGCCUCUGCAAUAAAAUUAAAAUUUCUUUCAACAGCAGCAUCCUCAAAGGCUCCAGUCCCAAUCUCCUAACCCAGCAGCCUGGCUGAGAGCUGGGGGCCCUGCAGUCUGUCAGAUCUGCGUUGAACCCCGGCUCUGCCACUUCGGAGCUCUGAGAACCUGGACGGUGAAGUCAGCGCUCUGUGCCUCUGGACAAAGGAGAUGAUAAUAACAUCUACCUCGUCAGGUUGUUCCGAGGACUAAACGAGAUCAGGCAGCUAACUCAGUGCCGACAUACAAGAGGAGCUGAACAAAGGGCAUUAUUACCGUUUCUAUCCCCUGAUGGCUGUUGCAGUAGAUCGGGGGCUCUGAACGCCCUCACCACGGCAGGAGGGCGCGGGAGCGGACUAACAGCACAGACAAGGGGCCGACGUGGACCCAAGAUUCCACCGAGCCAGCAUCUGGGCAGCCGUUGUCAGUACGAUCUGAUGAUUCUCAGGGAUCUCGUCCAGAGGUCCCGAUGCUGGGGAGGGGGUCCAGGUGAACUCAGAACUCAGGGGCCUGAGAUGGACCUCAGACCAGGUUCCAGCACUAUGCAGAGUUCAUUGACCUCCCCGCCUUCCAAGGACACUGGGCCUGCGCCCUACGUGAAGGAAUGUGUCUGGGCUCGGGGCCAAAGACGGCCACUUCAGCCCUGACUCUAAGGCACAAGUUACAAAGAAUAUGUCCUGCGUCAUGUUCCCUGUCUGGGCUGGCCACCCCGACGGGCACCUGAUGGGACUUUAGAAACAUCCCAUCCACGGGAACAAAAAAGAGAGAAGCAUCCCAUCUGUGGGAACAAGAAGAAAUAACUCAAAUUAUCCAAAUGUCUGAAACCCUGAGUCAGAACCCAGAGGAAGAACCUCAGGAUAAAAGGGAGUCACAGCAUAGAACAAUUGGGAGUCUCGCUGAGGAGAGGAUGCUGUGCCUCAGACCCGGACAAUCGGCAUCCCACCUGCCAUACAGACUAUUGGGACUUCCCCGGCGGAUUGCGGUGUGGAUGUUGCGUGGCUCCUGACAGGCAAUUCACUGGAAAGGCAGUGAUGUGGGGGUGAAGACACAGCGGGGAUCCCACCCCCUCCAUUGCACCUGUGACCUCGAAUACGCACCUGCUUCCCCGGGACCCGGUGUCCUGGAGUGUUGACUGAAGGCGCCUGCCCCGAGCACCUCCAGGAUCCUGAAGGCCCGGCCAGCUGUGCACUGUCUCCUUGACCCCGCAGCCCCAGGAGCAUGGGCUCAGCCGGGACGGGUGCUUUUCCUGCCAACCACCUCCAGCUCACUCACACACACACCUCGUCCAGCAGCUCUGCCCGGCACGGCCUUGCUGGGUCCCUCAACCCCGUACUUGCUGUGGAGACGCUCUCUCGAGUGUCUUGUCCCUUUCCUGCCUCAGCUGGUCCGUGUCAAUGGGCUGUCCUUUGCUGCCCAAGGCUCCGUCUGGGCCUGGGGCCCCUCUGUUCUAGAUUAGAGACAGAAAAGGAGAAGGUGUAACAGGUUAGGAUGGAAGAGCGCAGACCCUGAAGGCUAUUUGUUCUUUUUUUCAUCUGUAUGGUGGUUUUUAAAUCUAUUCACAAAUACUUUGACCUCCUUCCUUCAAAAAGUGAAGUCUAAGGGCUCGCCUGCUGGUGCAGCAGUUAAGUUUACACGUUCCAUUUGGGCAGCCCAGGGUUCACCAGCAGAUCCCAGGUGUGGACCUAGCACCACGUGUCAAGCCAUGCUGUGGCAGAUGCCCCACAUAUAAAGUAGAGGAAGAUAGGCACAGAUGUUAGCUCAGGGCUAAUCUUCCUCAGCAAAAAGAGAAGGAUUGGUGUGGAUAUUAGCUCAGGGCCAAUCUUCCCCAGCAAAAAGAGGAGGAUUGGUGUAGAUGUCAGCUCAGCGCUAAUCUUCCACAAAAAAAAAAAAAAAAAGUGAAGUCUAACUCCUCUCCACAAAUGUGGGCCGUCCUUUGUGACUCACUUCUAAGGGACAGAAUGUGGUAGAGGUACCGCUCGCUGUACGAUGGCCAAGGCCUGGUCAUAAAUAGGGUAGCGUCUGCCUGGCUCUCUCUCGUUCCCUUGGGUCGCUUGAUCUGAGGUCGGGAGGACACAGCAGCAGACUGGGGGGCUAGAACCGAGACCUCCUGCCAGCUCCAGCACCAGCCAGUGCUGCGGGUGAGCCACUGCGGAGGCUUCAGAGGACGACGACCUCGUGAGAGACCUGAGCCAGAACCAGCUGGCCAAGCCACACUGAAUUCUUGACCCACAGAAACCUCGAGGAUAAGAAACAUUCAUUGUUUUUUAUGCCAUUAACCUUGGGGUAAUUUGCUACACAGCAGUAGACAAUUAAUGCAACCAGAAUCCCCCACUGCAGCUGUUUGUGUUGCUCAUCUCUUUCUUUGCACAGAGAAAACAAGCGAGCCCUGACUUUAGGAGGAUGCAGAGCAGACGAGGCUUAACUGUGCUACUGCCCCGACCUCGCGCCUGCCAGGGGAGUGACCCAGCUUUGGUCCACACGGCCGGUACACGCACACACCCACAGCUUUAGCUGGGCAGGGCCUGGUGCGGCCGGGGUGGCCACUACUGUACAGGCCUGUCCAAGACUCGCCCGCCACCCACUUUGGGAGGAGCACGACUAACCCAGAGAUGGCCCUGUCACCUGGCUCACAGACACCAACACUGAGCAUCCCCAAGCAUCAUGAUGCAAACGAUCUCCCUCCAGUGCAGGGCAGGACCCGAGCUGCAGACGGUGCUCUGAGGACCACAGACGGAUUAUGCUGGCAGCCGGGGCCGUUGCUGACGAAGUCCACUGGCUUCCCCAAGGCAUGUGCGGGCCAAGGUGUGAGGCUGCCGCUUUCCCUCCUGACCCAGGCUUCGGACACCAAGGGCUCGGGGAGGGAGAGGGAUGGCCCCGUGCUGAGCCUAGGCCUCCAGCCGAGAGCGCGGGAGGCGGCGCAGCCCCUCUUCCACAUAGGCAGUGGCAGACCCAUCAUCUGAGCACCAAGCACGGCCGGCACUCUCAGGGACGCCUGCCAGCACUCGAUGUGCCCUACGGACCUCCCAUUAACAGGGACAGACAUGCAAAUCAAUCCAGUUUAGCAAACACUGUCUGACUGUCAACUGUGUGGGGGACACAGGAGCAGUGGCUAGAGGAAAGAGGGAAUUAGCGUGGCUCCUGCCUUCAAAAGCACCACUCUCCAGGCGGUGGGGAAAACAGGAUGACCAGGAAAACUGUGGACAAGAACUGAACUGAGGAGCCAGUAGCCUCUGCCACUUCUGAAUGCCCAAGGACUGGGGACAGUAAGAGACGCUCUGUGGAAGGGUCUGCCUCUGGCCUGGCCUCUGGAGGGAUCAAGAAGAAAGGCUUUUAAGGAGGGCCAGCAGCAAGUCAUCAUGGAGCGUGGGAGAGUGGGGUGGCUCAGGGUAUGUGGGCAUCUCUCCAUCAUGGCAGUAAGCUAUACGGGUCAGCUAGGACACAAGAGUGCUGUGUAACAAACAACCCCAAAGCAGCAGCAGCCUACAACCAUAAGCUUUAGUUUCCUGCUCACAGGUUUGCAAGUUGGCUGAGCAUCUCUGCUCCAGCCUGUGGGUCCAGUUCAGGUCUGCUCACAUGCCUCUCCUGCCAGGAUCCAGGCCAUAGGAGCAACAUACCCUUCUCAAGGUGCAACGCAGGCGUGCAAGAGGCCAAGCCGAACCACACGGCCACAGUGAAAGCGCCCCAGUGCACAGACACACCCUGCGUCUGCCCAUACUCCACGGGUUGCAGCAAGUCACAUGGCUGGUCCCAAAGUCAGCAGGGCCGGGAAGUACACCUGACCAGGAUGAGCCACACAAUGAUGGUUAGAGAAAGAAAAAUUGUGAACAAAUCAUACAAUCCUCUUAGCAGAUGGUGGCCAAGAAGUCAUAGGAGCUGAGACUGGAAACACAGACUGGAGCCUCGUACAAGAGAGACUGGCUGGUUGUUUGCCAAACCACUUCUUUCCUUCCUGGGCGCAAAACGACACUGUAGUUCCCAGCUUUCUUCGUAGCUUGUGUCUGAAUUCUGGCCAAUGGAGUGUGGUAGACGUGGGCCCUACCGCCAGGCCCAGGCCAAGGAAAGGCCACACAGAGCCCUCCACUCUUCCCUCAUCUGCUGGUAGACAGACAGAAUCCAGCGGAGGAACCCGAGGCCCGAGGUGAUGGCAGAGCCACAGUGUGGAAGGAGCCCGGGUCCCCGAGUCACCGCUGGGAGGACAGCGCCCAGGAGAGCCACCUGACCAGGACACUCAUGGUCGUUUGUUCUGGAAGUCGUGAGUGACUUUUUAUUGUGUUCAGCCACAGAGGUUUGGAGAUCAUUUGUCAUAGCGAUUAAUCUGGCCUCCUACUGGCCCGUGCCGCAGAGGCCCCUGGCAUGCGACUAAGUGGGCUCACUCGGAGCUGGAGCCGGGCAGGCCCGGACCGCACGAGCAGCCCAGCACUUGUUAGAGGGACGACCUUGAGGAAACCGCUUCGCCUCUCCAGGGCUUAAUUUCUCAUCUUUCAGUGGGGAUUUAUAGCUCCUACCGCAAAAGAUGCAUCACCGGCAAACCGCCACUGCACCAGGUGGGUCCCGCUGAGCCCCUGCGGGUUGCCCUGCAGCCCAGAAGUUUGCGAGAGGCUUUUAGGAGAUUGAAAGCCAGCCACAUAGCUUGUCCAGGGUUAAGACGUCCUGCGGGCUCCUCUGCUGGGGACAGGGGAGCAGGACACCCUCACUGGGCCUGGGCCUGAGAAGGUCAGCCCGGGUCAGGCGGGGUCCUCCACCCCACACACAUUUACCGCAGAGCUGGCAGGCGCAGGGUGAGUCUCUCCUGUCAGCCUGCUGCCGCCCCGCCCCCACCCCCCAAACCCGCAAAGGCCACUUGGAACCCGAGAUGCUGAGGCUGGACACCAGGGGACAGACAGACACACAGACAGGAACCGACAAGCAGAAGAGAGAAGCCAGCUUCUGAAAGAAAAGCAGAGAAAGGGACCCAGCGAGGAGAGAGGGAGACCCAACCCACGAGGUCAUUGGGGUCGGAGCGGACGCGGUCCCCGUGCCACCACAGGGCGCCAGUUCUCAGGCUGCCUUCUCAGCUCAAACGAGCGCCCUGCCCGGAGCACGUGGCUGCGCAUCCUGAGCGGAGCGGCGCGUCCACGGGCAGCCGGGGCGGCCCGCGCAUCCCCGCAGGGAACCGAGCGGGUCCCAGCGGCCCCUCCACGAGCACGGCUUCCACCCUGAGCCUGCACGAACAAAACAGGAAAGGCUUGCGACAGAUUGGGAAUUUCACCCCGAUCUCGAUUUCCAAAGGCGGGCAGGCCGACGACAACGUCCCUCAGGCCUCAGCCUCCUGUGACCUCACGCGGCAGCGCCACGCCCUCCGCAAACGCGGCGUGACCCCAGCACCUGCCGCUCCUCAGCUCCAGGGGCACGCCCGCGCUCAGCCGGGUUUAGAGCCGCCAGAGGGAACACCACCCAUCCGCAUUUGGGAGACAAGGCCAGUGAGGAUAAACGCCACCUCCCGCCGCGCUGGCCCGCCCGCCUGGCGAGCAGCUGGCACGCGAGCAGCGCCCCGGGCCUGGGCCUCCCGGUGGGCGGGGGCCAUCUGCACCCGGGCAGGGAGGGGCGCUCGGGGAGAACCGGCCAAAACGACCGGCCUGGUUCACGGGAUGUGUUGGUGGCACAACUCAGCCUAAACGGCAAACCUGACCGCCAGGCCCGUGCUGUGCCGCCGCAGCACACGCUGGCUCCUGAGGGUAGCUCCAUUUUCUCAUUGAUAAAACGGGGAUGUCACAAGGACGGGAGGAAAUAGUGGAUCACGGUGACUCGCAUGGCUCCGUGACUGACGCACAGUAAGCCCUCAGCAAAUGUCAGCGUUGCUGUAGCUAUUAUCGUUAAUAAUUGCUGUUAUUACUACUAUUAAUAACAACAAUAAUAAAGUGGGGCCAUGUGGCAUGCUCUUCCGUGCAGGCUGAAUUUCCCAGAACCUGGGUCCGCUCCAACUUUUGUCUCUGACCCCAGAUGCAACUAUAAAAGCACUCAGGAUUUAUUCUUCACCAGGACAAGCUCGAGACAUUUGUGUGCUGUCGCUGAAAGGACCAAACACACAUUCCAGAGGAUCCUCUCUGUUCCUGACUUGGUUCUGGGGCUUAACCUUUGUCGUCUUGGAUCUGGUCCUCACAGCCCGCAUUCCACAGGGUCAGGAGGGUCAGCAGGGGAGAGGCAGGGGGCUGACUGGGGUCUGGCACCCAGGACCUCCACUCCCGCCUCUGGCCUUUCAGAGGCUACCCACCCUCGGCUAACAAGACUGGCUUCUGCGGAACGGAGUGUCGGGCCUCCCAGGGGGACAGAAGAGCCCCCAUGGGAUACGCCUCCCCCUAUAGGUCAGGGCUAGAGUUGGUUGGUGGGAAAGAUAAAUUAGCAAGGCUGAGGGGAGAAAGACAACUUCCUGGGGGACAUGGGAGCGGCUGCCCUCAGUCUUUUGGGAGCAGGCAACACAGAUUCAUGCAGAAACACACACAGGAAUAAGCACAGACACGUGGACACACACAGGUACAAGCACUCACGACUCUCUCUCACACACACACACAAGCAAUCCUGAGCCUCAAGACAGAAGCUUCGGGCCCUUGCAGCUGCCUUCCCUGGAGGGGCAGCCAUGGGACUGGCCCAGAGCCACCUGGCACGCCUCCUGCCUCCUCCCCUUCCCCAGACCUGGGCGGUGCUCCCUGCAUGUCCCCAGGCCUCCGUGGUUCCUGCGGCUGCAGCCUUGGGUGCUCCUGUGCGAGCAAGCACAGCUCCUGGACCGGGCCGCAGGGACGUCUGGAACAGCCUGCAGGCAGGCUCCCCCGCUUCCACAGGACUCUCUCCUUUGGCCUGUCUCCCUGCCUUUCUCUUGGAAUUUCUGCAGGAUUUUGCAGACAAAAUCACUUAGUUCCAGCCACAUAGAUGCAAGAAACAGGUGAGCACCAAGGCGGAGCCAUGCUCCAGAGCCUGCACACAGCAGGAGCCAACCUGGGAUGUGCUGCACCCACCUGAAGCGGGGAACGGAGAGAGAAAUGCCCGGGGGAGGGGAAGGCUCUCCUGGCUGAGAGGCCUAGGGAGUCUCUGCAGGGUGUGGAUGGGCCAGGGUGGCCGAGGACUCAGAGUCCCCGAGUCUGCAGCUUCCUCCUCUCACCUCCCCAGGGACGGGGGAACAGGUCUGGGGCGGCCCGUUGGUAGGUGGAAGGGGAAGCGAGGCCAUAGAAUGUGCCCUUUGACCUUCUGACCACUGUCUUCUGCACCCCAAGAUCUGACCACUGAAAUAGCAAUCAUGACUUUCACGCAGCUUCUUGUAAAGCCGAGCCUUCACUGUGGGCUCUCGGAGCACCAGCAUUUUACCCCAAGUCUGCUGCCUGCCUACGUGUCCACUCCCUGCACCCCUGUUGGCACCUGUGUGUGUCCUGCCCUGGAGCAGCCCCCACACUCCUCUGCACCGGACAAUUCCUAGAAUGAGGAAGGGAUGGAAAUGACCCCAGAAAGUGGAAGAGCACACUGGAAGCGGAAGCAUUGGUCUGUGAUCACUGUUUCUCCCUCCAAAGGGGUUGGGGUGGAAGCCAAGUUGUUUCAGCCCACAGGGGCUCUGUGAAGUCAGGGAGCCUGUGCCAGCGCCCUCCUCCCUCCCUGACCCAUGAACCCAAGUCCCACGGGCCCUGAAUGUGCCAAUCACUCAUUCAUUCAACAAGCAUCCUGGAGCAACCAGGCCCUGGGCACCCUGGUGCUGAGAUGAAAAGUCAGUGUCUGCCCCGGGAGGGACACACCAUGGAGGGAGAGAUAAGACAGCACUACACUCUGCACGUGCCCUGGGAGACGGGCGUUUUAUGAGAAACCUGAACAAGAACGCAACUAACCCCCAGGACUGCAUCUCAGACGGUGGAAUUGGAGGCAUCCGGAGGAGAUACUCUGCUUUUUAUGAACAUAAGCAUGUCACAGAUGAAGAGGUUCUUAGCAACCAUCUGGCCCAACCCCCUCAUCAUACUCAGGGGUAAACCGAGGCUCAAUGAGAAGAUGAGACCAACUCCACUUCCCCUG
rnacentral:lncRNA from 1 species